ACUCCUACGGGAGGCAGCAGUGGGGAAUAUUGCACAAUGGGCGCAAGCCUGAUGCAGCCAUGCCGCGUGUAUGAAGAAGGCCUUCGGUUGUAAAGUACUUUCAGCAGUGAGGAAGGUGGGUAUGUUAAUAGCAUAUUCAUUUGACGUUAGCUGCAGAAGAAGCACCGGCUAACUCCGUGCCAGCAGCCGCGGUAAUACGGAGGGUGCGAGCGUUAAUCGGAAUUACUGGGCGUAAAGCGCAUGCAGGUGGUUUGUUAAGUCAGAUGUGAAAGCCCGGGGCUCAACCUCGGAAUUGCAUUUGAAACUGGCAAACUAGAGUACUGUAGAGGGGGUAGAAUUUCAGGUGUAGCGGUGAAAUGCGUAGAGAUCUGAAGGAAUACCGGUGGCGAAGGCGGCCCCCUGGACAGAUACUGACACUCAGAUGCGAAAGCGUGGGGAGCAAACAGGAUUAGAUACCCUGGUAGGAUAGCG
rnacentral:rRNA from 1 species